rnacentral:rRNA from 1 species
AGCGAACGCUGGCGGCAGGCUUAACACAUGCAAGUCGAGCGGGCCCUUCGGGGUCAGCUGCAGACGGGUGAGUAACACGUGGGAACGUACCCUUUGGUUCGGUAUAACGCUGGGAAACUAGCGCUAAUACCGGAUACGCCCUUUUGGGGAAAGGCUUGCUGCCGAAGGAUCGGCCCGCGUCUGAUUAGCUAGUUGGUGGGGUAAUGGCCUACCAAGGCGACGAUCAGUAGCUGGUCUGAGAGGAUGAGCAUCCACACUGGGACUGCGACACGGCCCAGACUCCUACGGGAGGCAGCAGUGGGGAAUAUUGGAGAAUGGGCGCAAGCCUGAUCCAGCCAUGCCGCGUGAGUGAUGAAGGCCUUAGGGUUGUAAAGCUCUUUUGUCCGGGACGAUAAUGACGGUACCGGAAGAAUAAGCCCCGGCUAACUUCGUG